rnacentral:lncRNA from 1 species
AUUGCACGUCUUAAUCUAAAGAUUGACUCACACAAAUGACACAAUGGUCUGCCGUCUAGGUUCCUUGUUGUCUCGUCAACACCGUUCAACCGUCGUAACACAAAUCGAUGUCGUGUCAGAUCCCUCAUGUCAGUCUUCGUAUGUUUCAAGAUGAAGAUAAAAGGUAUAAAGUCUCAGCGUGGAUGUGUGAAAACGAUGAUAUCCGAGAUGAUAAUAGGAGAUGUCGGAGAUGUGGGUUCAGUAUAUGAAAAGCAACCACGUUACUAAAAACUUGGAGAACAACACGUCGACGUUUAACUCUGUCUUUAGCGAGGUUCAAACGUCUUGUUGUUAUAGUUAUCGUUCUAUUGAUUAUAUGUUACCAUAUUUUGUAUAUUAAUUUUCUUAAAAUAAUCGAUCUUCCCCCCCCCAAAAAAACUUAAGGUAUUGAAAGGUUUAUACCCCAAAUGUUAGAGUAUAUAACACAUGGGUUUGUACCCCAAAGGUUUGCACCUCGUCGUUGUCGUGGACGACGCGCAUCGGCGAAAAUCUGAACAAGGACGACAAGGAAAAGAUAAUAAAGCUAUUAAGCAAUAAUUUAGAUGUUUUCGCUUGGAACGACUCAGAUCUAAAAAGUGUGGACAAAAAAGUAAUAGGACAUAAAUUAGAAGUAGAUCCGAAAACCUAUUAAAAGAUUAAUUUAAAAAUUGCAUUAAAACCCUUUUAUAAUUAAAAUAUAUUAAUCACAAUAAUCACAUCUAAAAUGCAAUUAAAUCAAAUCCGAAUCAAUCACAAAUUAAAUAUUCAACAACCACCCACAUUUCUAAUUAAGGCUAAUAUAGUCAUUGAUGAUUAAUUAUAAAUCCCUAUAAAUAACAAGAAGCUCGUUGCCUUUUGAGUUCUGUUUUGCAGAGUGGAAUUGCUAUCCAAUUUGUUCUACUGCUGCACCUCUGUCCAAGGAUUGAAUCCGUCUUCAUCUUCAAUCAGUUUUGCAGCUCAAGAUCAUUCGAGCUUACCGUCACCAUUCUUGUGUUCAUCACAUUCAUUCAUCAUUUCGAUCUUCAACAAUCUGCAAUCUCUGUAAUACAUUAUUAUCUCAAUUUCAAUAUCAUCAUAUCAUCAUAUUAGCAUUCAAGCAUCAAUCAUUCAAAUAUACAUUUCUAACAUGGUAAUCAAGUUGUGUUAAUCAAAAGAAGUGAAAGUUUUUUUUUCUCAAAAGAGAAACAAAAUAUAAGUUUUUUUUUUCAUUCCAGAUCCUUCCUUUUCAGUUUCAUCAGUAGUCAUCCUGCAUAAUCAGGGUCUAUAUUCUCAUCCCAGUUUAUUUCAUCAAUAAAUUUCUGUGUGUCCUCACUUACAUCUGAAUCCACACUUAAAGCAUCUGCAUCACAGUCCACAGUCUUCAUUUCAAUUGCAUCCGUACCUAUAAAAUAACAAGAUCACAUUCAUCUCACAAAUUAAUAAACAUUCAAUAAUUUUAAACAUCAUUUCUUUCAAUAUAUCAUCGUCUUUAAAACAUCAGUAUCAUCAAAAUCCCAAUCCAAACUGAAUAAUUUCAUCAUUUUUUUUCAAAACAGCAAAACACAUUUCACAUAUUCUUCCCUGAGUUUUUUUUUGUUACAGUUUUUUUCUUCUCUCAAUUAGAACUCAAGGACUCAACCUGCUUACAUAAACAAAAUCAUCAAGCAAUCUAGGAGGAUACUCCUCAUCCCAAAUUCCAAGGGAAAUAGCCUUAUCCUUACAAAGUGUCCUAUAAGCAGCUUUCAUCUUCUUCCCCCUCAAAUCUCCCACUGAAUCAUUUUCCUCACAUUUGAAAAUACAAUAAUCAUCAUUCUCUGCAGCCUUUUCAUCAUCACUCAAUCCAUAGAUACCACCAGUCCCUUCAUCAGCAUUCCAAUCUUCUUCCAAUCCCCCAUCCCACUCUUCAAGAUCAUCAUCCACAAGUGGUUGAGGUCCCUCGUCCGGAUCAUCAUCAACAUAGUCAGGAUCUACAUGUUAUCCCUCAUAUAAUCUACCCACAAGGCCCUAGGUUCAUCAUCCACUCUCCCAGCCCAAGCCACAUUUUUCCAAACUGCACGAUCAAAAGAUGGUUGAUAAGCAGGAAACUGUUUUGGAACAACUGCAUGAUCUAUACAUUCCACAUCAUUCCCACCAAUUUCUCUAUAUUUUGACUCAACUUCAUUAUCUGCAUCAAUUUUUUUCCAGAAAACAUAAAAAAUGGCAAAUGAAAAUGUCAUACAACAGUACUCAGAUAACCCAACCACACAGUUAGUACCAUUCAGAAUGGAUGGUAACAACUGGAUUGUUUGGAGCACACCGUUCGUCAUAGUUGUGGAAUCCAAAAAUAAAGAAAAAUACUUGACAGGAGAAGAAACUACACCAGAUGAAAAAACUGAAGAAGAAAAGUAUCAGAGGUGGAAAACCAUCGAUGCAUUAGUAAGGUCCUGGAUCUUAAAUAGUCUAAGCCAGGACUUAUCACCUGGUUUUUUUUUCUACAAAUCAGAUUAUCUCCUAUGGAAAGAAUUAAAAGAGAGAUUUCACAUACAGAAUGGGCCUCUAGUCUACCAACUACAAGUGAAAAUAUUCACUCUCACACAAGGGCAAGACUCUGUGUGUGGCUACUAUACAAAACUCACCAAACUUUGGAAUGAAUAUGACAUGAGCAGGAAGAGUGUAGAAAUCAUAGCAGAAGAAAGAUUGAUAAAGUUCCUAAUGAGACUGAAUGAAUGCUAUAAACACCUUGGAAGACAAAUAAUGCUCACGGAACCUCAGUCUGAUUUAAAUAAGGCAUAUGCCAUGGUCUCAAAGGAUAAACAACAAAGAGACAUGGAGACACCAAGUGAACCAGCAACAACACUAAUGAUUCAAAGGCCUUACAGGCCACCCAGACCACAAGGUGAGAGACCUUACUGUAACAAAUGUAAAAGGCCAGGACGCACCAUCAACACCUGUUACCAAAUACAUGGAUAUCCCUACAAGUUUCAAAUACUUACCAUCAACACUUGUUACAAAACCCCGAUCGACAAGUUUCAAAUAAACGACCUUACACAUACCUUUAAAUAAUUAACAAAGUCUAAACCAAAACCAAAGCCCAAAACGAGUCUUUUUCGGCCUUGCUUUUGAGGGGGGCUAUUAAAAGAUUAAUUAAGAAAUUGCAUAAGACCCUUUUAUAAUUAAAAUAUAUCAAUUACAAUAAUCACAUCUAAAUGCAAUUAAAUCAAAUCAGAAUCAAACAAUUAACAACAAGGACCUGGACAGCAAAGACAAGGUUAUCAAGGACCUGGACAGCAAAGACAAGGUUAUCAAGGACCUGGACAGCAAAGACAAGGUUAUCAAGGACCUGGACAACAAACAAAUAUGCACCAAACAACAACAACUUCAGGCCACAAUCCAGAGUAUACAACACAUACUCAGAAGAAACAACCAAUCAACAAUACAUAAAAAAUGAAAACUUUUAUGGAAUGGAUGAACAAGAAUAAGGCUAUAAUGCAUCUGAAGAAGAUUGACAAAACAACCAAUGGUCCAACAGUAACUCAUCAUAUCAAUAUGAAGGACAAUCUGAAGUAAGCCAAAACCAAGAUGUCAUGGACCAAAUCAGGAACCUUCUGAACCAAAACCAGAGUCAACCUAAUGAAGAAAGGCACUCUGCAAACAUGGGAAGGGUGCUGAUACAACACCCUUCUUUAGAGCCAGACAACAAUACUGGUAAUGCUUAUCCCUCCUUCUGUUUCAAUACUCACAGUAGAAAAAACACAAUCUGGAUAAUAGACCGUGGAGCUAUUGAUCAUAUGUGUGGGCCGGACAUCACACUCACAGAUCAGAUAAUCCUUGUCAAUCCUAUCAUUGUACACCUUCCAAAUUCACAGAUAACAACAGUGAAUUGCAUUGGAAAGUACAAAAUAAAUAAUAGAUUGACACUCCAAAAUGUCUUACAGAUUACUGAAUUUAAUGUAAAUUUGAUUUCAGUCACAAAAUUAACAAAGUAAUUACAAUGCAGCUGUUCAUUUCAUCCUGAUCACUGUCUUAUACAGGAUUCGAGGAUGAGCUUGAUUUUUAUGGGUAAAAGGAUCAAUGGACUAUACAUGAUACUCGAGGAAUCAAUAGAAUCAAAGAGAAGUAAAAAAGCGAGAAGCUACUUGGCCAACAAAACCUCCUCAACAAACAUUUGACAUAGGAGGCUAGGACAUCCAUCACUACUUAGAUAUUAUCUAAUUAGGAAAAUAGACAAUUCAAUUCCUAAAUUAGAUAAUACUUUAUAUAAUGAAUGCCCAAUGGCAAAACACACGAGAUUUGUUUUUCCUACUAGCAAUUUUAAAACUACACGAGAUUCUAAAACUAGCAAUUCUAGCAAUUUGUUUUUCAUUAAAGGUUUUUAGCUGUCUCUGCUAUGCCAAAAACAAAAAAACAACAGAUAAAUCUGAACCUAGAGCAGUUAAAGGAGUAUUCCUUGGCUACUCAACAACAACAAAAGGAUAUAAAAUCAUUGAUCUAGAAAAAGAACUAAUAUUUGUCAAUAGAGAUGUAAGUUUCUAUGAGACAGUGUUUCCAUUUAAACAAAAGGAAACACAAGAACAAAGAAACCCACCAUUAAUUAGGGAUAUAAACAACAAGUCAAACGAACCCAAGAACAACAGAAACACCAUCUCAAAACAAAAGGAAAGAAUACAGACACAACCAACACAACAAAGACCAACAAGAGAAUCAAAAAGACCAAAAAUAUAUGAAGACCAUGUAUGCUAUAAUGCUAACAAGUCAAAAUUCCCAAUAGAAAACUACAUAUCAUACCAAAAUACAUCAGAAAAACAUAGGACCUUCCUAAUCACAAUAAGUAAAGCUAAGGAACCAAACUCCUAUACACAAGCAAUAAAAGAAGAAAAAUGGUGUGAGGCAAUGAACAACGAGCUAAAAGCCCUAAAAGUCAACAAAACUUGGGAGAUAGUAGAACUACCACAAGGCAAGAAGGCAAUAGAAAAAAAUGGGUAUAUAAAACGAAAUACAACUCAGAUGAAACCAUAGAAAGACAUAAAGCUAGGCUAGUGGCAAAAUGUUAUAACUAAAUAGAAGGGAUUGAUUAUACCGACACCUUUGCCUCUAUCUCAAGGAUGACAACCUUGAGAACACUAAUAAUGAUUCUAGCUGCACAAAAUAAAUGGCACCUACAUCAAAUGGAUGUACAGAAUGCCUUCUUACAUGGAGAACUAGAAGAAGAAGUCUUUAUGAAAAUCCCACAAAGACUAAAGCUAGAAAAAGAAAACAAGAACUUAGUAUGUAAACUAAGAAAAUCAUUAUAUGGUCUAAAACAGGCCUCCAGAAUGUGAUUUUACAAAUUAAACGUCAUAAAAAUAAUAGGAUUCACACAAACAAAAUCAGACUACGCACUGUUUGUUAAACAGGAAGGAGAAUCCAAAACAUUUAUACUAGCAUAUGUGGACGAUUUGUUAGUCAUUGGAAACAACCUAAAUAAAAUCAAGGAAAUUAAAAAACAACUAAAAAAAAUUUUAAUAUAAAAGAUUUAGGAAAACUAAAAUAUUUCGUAGGAUUGGAAUUCACAUUCUCCCUACAAGGCAUAUAUAUGGGAGGAAGAAAAAUACGCACUGAACCUUUUAGAAACAACAUGGUACAUAAACUCAAAACCAUCAAAUAAUCUAACAAACAAACCACAAGAAUUAAAAAACGACGAGGAAAAAGAACUCCAAGAUCCAACAUAUUAUAAAAAAAUAGUUGGUAAAUUAGUAUACCUAACAGUUACAAGGUCAAACAUAACCUACGCGGUAAAUUUCCUAAGUCAAAAUAUGGGUAAUCCAAAAGAAAAAGACCUAUGUGCAGCACAUAAGAUUCUAAGGUAUAUUAAACAAUCACCAGGAUUUGCAUUGUUCUUCUCUGGAUCCAAAACCUCAGCAAUUGCAGCAUUCUCCGAUUCAGAUUGGGCGUCCUGCCCAUCCACCAGGAGAUCUACUACCGGAUUUGUCAUAUUUUUAGGAGACUCCCUGAUAUCAUGGAAAACAAAAAAAUAGCACACCGUAGCACGCUCAUCAGCAGAAGCGGAAUAUAGGGCAAUAACACAUACUAGUUGUGAAAUAACUUGGUUGACAAAUCUCCUAAAAGAAAUAGGAACUUACAAAGAAGGAUACCAAACUCCAACCCUAUAUACUGAUAGUAUUUCGGAAGAAGCAAUAGCACUAAACCCGGUUCUACAUCAACGCACAAAACACAUAGAAAUAGACAUACAUACUGUGCGCGACAAAAUAAUGGGAAAAGACCUAAAAAUCGACAGAGUCGACACCAAAAUGAAUGUUGCUGAUCUAUUCACAAAACCAGUAGUAGGAACACUAUUCAAAACUAUGAUCGAACAACUAGGAAUGAAUCAACUACACUAGAAGAAGGAAGAUAAGGAACAAACGAGGGAAAGGAGAAAACCUCUGUUCGCCUUCUCUCGCCAAAAAUCCUAAUGAACAAAACCCCGACCGACAAGUUUUAAAUAAACGACCCUACACAUACCUUUAAAUAAUUAACAAAGUCCAAACCAAAACCAAAGCCCAAAACGAGUCUUUUUCGGCCUUGCUUUUGAGGGGGGCUAUUAGAAGAUUAAUUAAGAAAUUGCAUUAAAACCCUUUUAUAAUUAAAAUAUAUCAAUUACAAUAAUCACAUCUAAAAUGCAAUUAAAUCAAAUCCGAAUCAAUCACAAAUUAAAUAUUCAACAAUCACCCACAUUUCUAAUUAAGACUAAUAUAGCCAUUGAUGAUUAAUUAUAAAUCCCUAUAAAUAACAAGAAGCUCAUUGCCUUUUGAGUUCUGUUUUGCAGAGUGGAAUUGCUGUCCAAUUUGUUCUACUGUUGCACCUCUGUCCAAGGAUUGAAUCUGUCUUCAUCUUCAAUCAGUUCUGCAGCUCAAGAUCAUUCGAGCUUACAGUCAUCAUUUCUGUGUUCAUCACAUUUAUUCAUCAUCUCGAUCUUCAACAAUCUGCAAUUUCUGUAAUACAUUAUUAUCUCAAUUUCAAUAUCAUCGUAUCAUCAUAUUAUCAUUCAAGCAUC